CGAACAGAUGAGGAGCUUGCUCCUCUGACGUUAGCGGCGGACGGGUGAGUAACACGUGGAUAACCUACCUAUAAGACUGGGAUAACUUCGGGAAACCGGAGCUAAUACCCGGAUAAUAUAUUGAACCGCAUGGUUCAAUAGUGAAAGACGGUUUUGCUGUCACUUAUAGAUGGAUCCGCGCCGCAUUAGCUAGUUGGUAAGGUAACGGCUUACCAAGGCAACGAUGCGUAGCCGACCUGAGAGGGUGAUCGGCCACACUGGAACUGAGACACGGUCCAGACUCCUACGGGAGGCAGCAGUAGGGAAUCUUCCGCAAUGGGCGAAAGCCUGACGGAGCAACGCCGCGUGAGUGAUGAAGGUCUUCGGAUCGUAAAACUCUGUUAUUAGGGAAGAACAAAUGUGUAAGUAACUAUGCACGUCUUGACGGUACCUAAUCAGAAAGCCACGGCUAACUACGUGCCAGCAGCCGCGGUAAUACGUAGGUGGCAAGCGUUAUCCGGAAUUAUUGGGCGUAAAGCGCGCGUAGGCGGUUUUUUAAGUCUGAUGUGAAAGCCCACGGCUCAACCGUGGAGGGUCAUUGGAAACUGGAAAACUUGAGUGCAGAAGAGGAAAGUGGAAUUCCAUGUGUAGCGGUGAAAUGCGCAGAGAUAUGGAGGAACACCAGUGGCGAAGGCGACUUUCUGGUCUGUAACUGACGCUGAUGUGCGAAAGCGUGGGGAUCAAACAGGAUUAGAUACCCCUGGUAGUCCACGCCGUAAACGAUGAGUGCUAGGUGUUAGGGGGUUUCCGCCCCUUAGUGCUGCAGCUAACGCAUUAAGCACUCCGCCUGGGGAGUACGACCGCCAAGGUUG
rnacentral:rRNA from 1 species